rnacentral:tRNA from 1 species
GGUAGCGUGGCCGAGUUGGUCUAAGGCGUUGGAUUUAAGUUUGCGAUUGUAUUCCCCAAUUCUUGCUUCCCAAUGAAGGUGACUUCGCGCGAGUUCGAAUCUCGCCGCUACCA